rnacentral:lncRNA from 1 species
UACGGAUAGAUAGAUUAGUCUUAGACGCAUGAUUUUUUUUAUUAGUUGUUAGUGGCUUUGAACUAGCUGUCAGAUAACUGCGAGUACUCUCAGAUCUGUUCUUUGUGUCUUUUUGUGUCGGGAUGUAUAAGUACCCGGCCACGUCCACUUGUAUUUUUGUCCAUCUGAUGAGUUAAGCUUUUUUCAACUGAUUUUUAUAGUUCGUUCUUAUGUUGUACUGUUAUACCACUGUCCCAGGUUAGGGGGAGGGUUGGGAUCCCGCUAACAUGUUUAACCCCGCCACAUUAUUCAUGUAUGUGCCUGUCCCAAGUCAGGAGCCUGUAAUUCAGUGGUUGUCGUUUGUUUAUGUGUUACAUAUUUGUUUUUCGUUCAUCUUUUUUUUAUAUAAAUAAGGCCUUAGUUUUCUCGUUUGAGUUGUUUUACAUUGUCUUAUCGGGGCCGUUUAAAGCUGACUAUGUAGUAUGGGCUUUGCUCAUUGUUGAAGGCCGUACGGUGACCUAUAGUUGUUAAUGUCUGUGUCAUUUUGGUCUCUUGUGGACA